GUUCUGUCUUUUCAACCUCUCUCUUUCUAUUAUUCAUUAAUUAAUCAAACUUUUUGUCCUAUCUACUCCUACGCUGAUGAUACCACCCUACAUCUUUCCACGUCCUUUCAGAGACGGCCAACCCGUCAGGAAGUCAACUGAUCACGCAGGGACGCCAAAGAACGCCUGACUCCCGAUCUUUCUAAGAUUUCUGAUUGGGGCAGAGACAAUCUAGUAGUUUUCAAUGCCUCAAAAACUCAAUUCCUCCAUCUAUCAACUCAACACAACCUUUCAGACAGACGUUGACGGGUGCGUGUAGUCGCCCAGAUCCUCUCCCUGUGGAACCAUCCCCUCAACAGUGUUCGAUCCGCCCAGCAGCAGCAACGGUCAGGAGAAGGCGGUCAUUGAAGUGUCAAGUCCCCAAGCUGGCAUGGUGUACUACUAACGCCAAAGAAGUGAGGCAAGUUUUUGGAGUGAGCGUGCAUGACAUAC